AUUUAACAAGAAUAAAGAAGAAGGACAUGAAUAUCAGAUACAGAAGACGCUGAAAAAAAUAAUAGAAAAAAAUCACUGAUGUAGAAGUUUCAACAGGACUCAAAAUUCUAGGAAUUUACAUCGUAAACAGAAGCUGCAACAGCUUGGUUAACGUCCUUGGAGACCAGAAGUCAGAAGUCACUGUUCCAUUUACAUAAUAUUUCCUCCCAGCGGAAUAUGUGUUGAUUUAUAGAAAGCACUUAAAAUAAAUUGUUCGGAUCCACUUCA
rnacentral:lncRNA from 1 species